AUGACAGCGAGGGCCCUGGGCCUCGCCGGCCGAGCACUCCUGCGGCCGCUCGCCUCACCAGGCGCCCCGCGCCUGCUGUCAACUGACAAGGGUCCAUUGCAGGGCCUCACGAACGCCGGUGAUCCGAUGAGCCGCCUCAUCAUGCAAGCACGGAACCAGACUGAUGGCGGUUUCCCUCGUCACUUUGCUGAGAAUGGAUUCACAGCUGGUGGUGGCAGGAUGGGUGGAAACGGAUUGACAGCCGGUGAUGGCAGGAUGGGUGGAAACGGAUUUACAGCCGGUGAUGGCAGGGUGGGUGGAAACGGAUUCACAGCCGGUGAUGGCAGGAUGGGUGGAAACGGAUUCACAGCCGGUGGUGGCAGGAUGGGUGUAACCGGAUUCACAGCCGGUGGUGGUAGGUCGGGCCGGUUUAACAUGGAAAUGCUGCGGACAGCAGGGGCUCCGCGAGUAAAGAGGGACGUUCUCCACGUCACGCUCAAGGGGAAGAAGACCUUUGUGACUGUGACGGACGUCAAGGGGAACAGGAAGGCUGGGGCUUCCGCUGGCUGUUUGGAGGAUCGAAAGGGGCGGUCUCGACUUGCUCGGUAUGCUGGUGAAGCAACAGGGGAACACAUGGGGCGAGUUGCCAACAAGAUUGGCCUCAAAUCGGUCGUUGUGAAGGUGAAAGGAUACUCCUUUUUCAGGAAGAAGAAGAAGGUGAUCAUGGGCUUUGCGGAUGGUUUCCGGGGCGAAAGAGUGAGGACCCCGUCUCCUAUCAUGUAUGUCCACGACGUGACCCAGCUCGCUCAUAAUGGAUGCCGGCUGCCCAAAAAGGUAAGGAAGUAA
rnacentral:rRNA from 1 species